GACGAACGCUGGCGGCGUGCUUAACACAUGCAAGUCGAACGGGUUCGGAGGUUAGAAGACAGAGGUCAGAGGUAGGAAUUAAAAAUAGAAAUCGGCUCUGCCGAUUUCAACAAAAAUUCCGACAUCCGACUUCCGACUUCUGACUUCCGAUACUAGUGGCGGACGGGUGAGUAACGCGUGGGCAACCUACCCAUAAGCGGGGGAUAACAGUUGGAAACGACUGCUAAUACCGCAUAAGCUAUUAAGGUCGCAUGACCAUAAUAGUAAAGGUAGCGAAAGCUAUCACUUAUGGAUGGGCCCGCGUCUGAUUAGCUAGUUGGUGGGGUAGCAGCCUACCAAGGCAACGAUCAGUAGCCGGCCUGAGAGGGUGGACGGCCACACUGGGACUGAGACACGGCCCAGACUCCUACGGGAGGCAGCAGUGGGGAAUAUUGCGCAAUGGGGGAAACCCUGACGCAGCGACGCCGCGUGAGCGAAGAAGGCCUUAGGGUCGUAAAGCUCUGUUGUAAGGGACG
rnacentral:rRNA from 1 species